rnacentral:rRNA from 1 species
GAAAUUCGCCUUCAUGAAGUCGGAAUUGCUAGUAAUGGCAGGUCAGCAUACUGCCGUGAAUACGUUCCCGGGCCUUGUACACACCGCCCGUCACACCAUGAGAGUUGGGAAUACCCGAAGCCUGUGAGCCAACAAACGAGGCAGCAGUCGAAGGUAGAAUCAAUGAUUGGGGUGAAGUCGUAACAAGGUAUC